GAUGAACGCUGGCGGCGUGCCUAAUACAUGCAAGUCGAGCGAACAGACGAGGAGCUUGCUCCUCUGACGUUAGCGGCUGACGGGUGAGUAACACGUGGAUAACCUACCUAUAAGACUGGGAUAACUUCGGGAAACCGGAGCUAAUACCGGAUAAUAUAUUGAACCGCAUGGUUCAAUAGUGAAAUACGGUUUUGCUGUCACUUAUAGAUGGAUCCGCGCCGCAUUAGCUAGUUGGUAAGGUAACGGCUUACCAAGGCAACGAUGCGUAGCCGACCUGAGAGGGUGAUCGGCCACACUGGAACUGAGACACGGUCCAGACUCCUACGGGAGGCAGCAGUAGGGAAUCUUCCGCAAUGGGCGAAAGCCUGACGGAGCAACGCCGCGUGAGUGAUGAAGGUCUUCGGAUCGUAAAACUCUGUUAUUAGGGAAGAACAAAUGUGUAAGUAACUAUGCACGUCUUGACGGUACCUAAUCAGAAAGCCACGGCUAACUACGUG
rnacentral:rRNA from 1 species